rfam:Triticum urartu cultivar G1812 contig722121, whole genome shotgun sequence.
UCCGGUAAAUCACACUUAAGCCCUGAUACCUAAGUCCUGCUGGAUACGGUCUCCUGGCCGCAACCCCGAGUUGCCAGGGUGCAGAAAGAAAUGACUGCAUCUCCCCUCUUUGGAAAGGUGUUCUGGUGCCACAAUU